AGAGUUUGAUCAUGGCUCAGAUUGAACGCUGGCGGCAUGCCUUACACAUGCAAGUCGAACGGUAACGCGGGGCAACCUGGCGACGAGUGGCGAACGGGUGAGUAAUAUAUCGGAACGUGCCCAGUAGUGGGGGAUAGCCCGGCGAAAGCCGGAUUAAUACCGCAUACGACCUACGGGUGAAAGAGGGGGAUCGCAAGACCUCUCGCUAUUGGAGCGGCCGAUAUCAGAUUAGGUAGUUGGUGGGGUAAAAGCCUACCAAGCCGACGAUCUGUAGCUGGUCUGAGAGGACGACCAGCCACACUGGGACUGAGACACGGCCCAGACUCCUACGGGAGGCAGCAGUGGGGAAUUUUGGACAAUGGGCGCAAGCCUGAUCCAGCCAUGCCGCGUGCGGGAAGAAGGCCUUCGGGUUGUAAACCGCUUUUGUCAGGGAAGAAAUCCUUUGGGCUAAUACCCCGGGGGGAUGACGGUACCUGAAGAAUAAGCACCGGCUAACUACGUGCCAGCAGCCGCGGUAAUACGUAGGGUGCAAGCGUUAAUCGGAAUUACUGGGCGUAAAGCGUGCGCAGGCGGUUAUGUAAGACAGAUGUGAAAUCCCCGGGCUCAACCUGGGAACUGCAUUUGUGACUGCAUAGCUGGAGUGCGGCAGAGGGGGAUGGAAUUCCGCGUAGCAGUGAAAUGCGUAGAUAUGCGGAGGAACACCGAUGGCGAAGGCAAUCCCCUGGGCCUGCACUGACGCUCAUGCACGAAAGCGUGGGGAGCAAACAGGAUUAGAUACCCUAGUAGUCC
rnacentral:rRNA from 1 species